GUUAAUUUAAUCUUUUGUUUUAUUCAAUUAACUAUUUUAGCUUUUCAUCGCUCUGCAUUUCGUGUCUUAGUUGACUAUAGUUGGUUUGUGUAUAAUUAACUGUGUUACUUUCGGUUGCUCAUUUGGUUUCCAAGUUGACAGUUGGUCUGUAUAUCGUCAAAGGAAUUGCCAGUCAAAAAUUGAAAGUCACUUUACUGAUGGUCAGUGAGACUAACAAUUACAAAUGAAAGUGGGCAAGUGAGGAAACAAAGUCAGCAAGGUAUAACAACAGGAAGGUCAUAAAGAGAUGGAAAAUAACGAUGGUCUCAACAGGAAAAGAAGCUAAGAUUUUUAUCGUAGGCGAGAAGAAUCAUGGUGAAAACAAAAAAACGAGAAUGUGUUGUGCUGAUGAUCCAAAUUGAAGGCAAAAAAGGCAAAAAAAGAUCCUUAGCUGAGCAAAGUGAUGUAGAUUUUGGUGUGGAUCUUAGCAGGGUUCCUUGUGUAUAUGUUAAUGAAAGCGUUUUUUUGCAGCUAAUUUAACCAUCAUUUCAUGCUGUGAUGAAGUUUUAAAUAACAACAUACAACUACAACUAAAAAAAGAGGAAAUAUCAAGAAUUGCUGUAUCAUUGGACAAGGAAGGACCUCUCUCACUUUCAAUGCAUGGCAAAGGUGGAUUACGUCAAACUGUUGGUUAAUUUGGCCAAUAAAUUACCUGGUCUUGCGGAGAUAGUGGUUGAUUGUUGUCGACCUGAGAUUUGUUGUUUUGAGUGAAUGAGUGACGUUCCGUUAAUAUUGACUGUUGAAAGCUAUACAUGGAUUAGAGCUAAGGGCUCGUCCACCAUGGUUCUCAGAAUGUUGACUCAAUCUCUCCUCCAGGGCAAAUGAUUGACAACUCUCUACAUUAUUCAGCUAAUAUUUUCAAACGUCAUACCUGCUUCUUCUCUAUCUUCUCCUCUCUGUCUCUCAUGACUCUUCUCUCUUGUGAUAUGCUGAUAACGAUAGAACCAGUGCUAUUUAUUUCGUGCUAUGGCUUUUGGUUUUAUUUUCUGGUCAAAGAGACAGUGAAAAAGAUAACACUUAAUGAUGGCGAGGAGGAGGAAGGAGACCCAUGAUGACGAUCAAGAAGGCAAACAAAAAUUUGGUAAAAGAUAAACGAGUCAAAAUGGAGGGCCAAAAAGAUGACACAGAAAAGAGACUGAGAAAGAGAAAGACAAAGUUACUAACCAAGGAAAGAGAAAUGACGACCAAUCGAAAGUAAUUCUAAAAAUAUAUCGAUAGAAAAGAAGUGAAGAGAAGAUGUCACCAAAGACUGAUGGAUGAUCAUUUCAAAUUGUUUCAAAUUGCAAUUUUUGUUAUUGCUGCUGAAAUAGAAUCGUUUAGAUGCAGAUAUACAUCGUACUCUAAAUGAGAAUCAACUAUUCCUUUGAGUACACAUUUUAACCAAAGACUUACACUGUUUUAACAAGAAACCAAAUUAUUCUCAUGAAGGACAGAUUUCACAGCCAAGAAUAAAAGAAAACGUUGUCAUGGGAAAAAGGAAAUCAAAGACAAUUUCACUGAUGAUCAAGGUUGAAACAUGAAUUGGAACCAACCUCAACAUUUAAAAAGCUAAUCGGUUUGGGUUUUGCUGUGUUAUCAAUUCAUUAAUCACUUUCAGAGUUGACUCAAAGAGAGGAGGGAAAAAAUGUUGUACAAUUGAAGACACUGUUUAACACUCUUGUUUCACCAUGUCCAUUGAAAAGGGUUUGGUCGCUGAGGAAAGAAAAACAAGAAAUGUGAAUUUAAGAUAAUAUCCAUUUAACUCUGAUUCUAUCUAUUUCUCUUCAUCUCUUCAUCUCAUCCUCUCUCUUUCUCUCUUCAACGCACCAAGGUGAUGAUUAUUUUAUCCCAAAUAAAUUCUGUAAUCAAUGGUGGUAAUGAGGGUUGCAAGAUGUAAAACAGAUUACCUCAAAGUAUCAGUAUUGAAGAAACGCGAAUCAUAAAAAAAGCCAAGUUUUAAAAACAUUUUCUUGAAUUUGCUUGAUCAUAAUUAAGAUUAAAAUUUGGACAAUUAUCAAAACUAACCACGUUCCAUCAGUUGAAGAUGUUUCUACAUCAUCAUCAUCAUCCUCGUCAACAUUUGCUUUGCCUUUUCCUUACCUGGACAUUAACUGAUAAGACAACCUGGUAACAUUUGAAAGUUGGUGAAAUAAAGCCAAGUUAAUAUAUUGUUAACAGGAGAGGACAAAUUUGAACAAAUUAACUUAUUUAAGCAGAUUAUGCUUCAAAUCAGGAUUGCUGAUCAAAUUUCAGAUUAAUAAUUUAAUUGUCUUGUACGGAUGUGUAGGAUUAGCACAUA